GGUCAAAGUUUACCGCAUAUGUUCGUCGUCCACGGCGAACCGUUCGGGACAUCACUAGUCACCAAGUGUGUGAGAGAGCACUCUCGUGGCCAAUGUAAUGUCUUUGUUGCCACUGGAAAUCUCGUCCGGCAUCUUUUCCCUAUUGCAUGGUACAUGCAAGAGGCUCUUUGAAGUCCUAGGCAAUCUAAAUGCCGGAGUAAGUCCUGGGUGCUGGAGCAAGUACCAUGAGUGCAAUCUCAGUGUUGGGGUAAGUCCUGGGUGCUGGUGUGGGUACUGGGACAAGUCCUGUGAGUGCAAUCUCAGUGUUUCGGUAAGUCCUGGUUGCUGUAGCAAGUCCUGGGAGUGCAAUCUGUGUGCUCGGGUAAGUUAAUAUAUGCCCCCACUAUAUAGAAAGGGUUAUGUCUCACACACUGCCCUAAAAUAUAUACCCAUGCAAUUCAAAUAACCUUGUGUACAUACUGGGGCCUAUAUAUUGCCCUGUGCAUGGGGUAUAUAUCAGGGCAAUGUGUGGGGUAUCACCUUGUAUAAACUGGUGAUAUAUAUUGCCCUGGGAAGGUGUAUAUAUCAGUCGUAUCUAUAAAUAAUAAUACACUUUUCAAAUGUACUUUUAAAAUGCAUGGUUACUCUUUGUUGAACAAGAAUGUAGUGUUAUAAGAUGGGGCUGGUAUAAUAAUGCAAUGCUAUGGGGCUGCUUUUAUUUCCAUGGCUGGUCUUUAUUCCCAGUCUAGCACUA